UACGUAGGGUGCGAGCGUUAAUCGGAAUUACUGGGCGUAAAGCGUGCGCAGGCGGUUCGUUAUGUCCGUUGUGAAAGCCCCGGGCUCAACCUGGGAAUGGCAAUGGAAACUGGCGGGCUAGAGUGUGGCAGAGGGGGGUGGAAUUCCGCGUGUAGCAGUGAAAUGCGUAGAGAUGUGGAGGAACACCGAUGGCGAAGGCAGCCUCCUGGGCCAGCACUGACGCUCAUGCACGAAAGCGUGGGGAGCAAACAGG
rnacentral:rRNA from 1 species